AGAAUCAACGCUGGCGGCGUGCCUCAGACAUGCAAGUCGAACGCGAAAGUCCCCUUCGGGGGACAAGUAGAGUGGCGCACGGGUGAGUAACACGUAGGUAAUCUACCUUCGGAUGGGGAAUAACAACCGGAAACGGUUGCUAAUACCGCACAAUGCAGCGGCACCUAAUGGUGACAGUUGCUAAAGCGGGGGAUCGAAAGACCUCGCGUCUGAAGAGGAGCCUGCGGCGGAUUAGCUAGUUGGUAGGGUAACGGCCUACCAAGGCGACGAUCCGUA
rnacentral:rRNA from 1 species